GACGAACGCUGGCGGCGUGCUUAACACAUGCAAGUCGAACGGAAAGGCCCUGCUUUUGUGGGGUGCUCGAGUGGCGAACGGGUGAGUAACACGUGAGUAACCUGCCCUUGACUUUGGGAUAACUUCAGGAAACUGGGGCUAAUACCGGAUAGGAGCUCCUGCUGCAUGGUGGGGGUUGGAAAGUUUCGGCGGUUGGGGAUGGACUCGCGGCUUAUCAGCUUGUUGGUGGGGUAGUGGCUUACCAAGGCUUUGACGGGUAGCCGGCCUGAGAGGGUGACCGGCCACAAUGGGACUGAGAUACGGCCCAGACUCCUACGGGAGGCAGCAGUGGGGAGUAUUGCACAAUGGGCGGAAGCCUGAUGCAGCAACGCCGCGUGCGGGAUGACGGCCUUCGGGUUGUAAACCGCUUUCGCCUGUGACGAAGCGUGAGUGACGGUAAUGGGUAAAGAAGCACCGGCUAACUACGUG
rnacentral:rRNA from 1 species